rnacentral:other from 1 species
AAUUCCCUGCUCCGCAGGUGAGUCGAUAUUUUUUUUGAGCCAACACUUCGUGGACGGGAACCUGACGCACGGUUUGAUGUCAUGACUCCGAAACGGGUUGAGACAGAGAAUCGUGCCGUGGUGCCCACCUGGUGAUCCAGGCCCAGGAAGAACUCGACUCACGGCGCGGCGGGGAAUUU